rnacentral:lncRNA from 1 species
CUUCCUGCUGCAGUAAGAGAUGAACAUUCCCUUUGGAGAGACACACUAGGUCACUACAAAUGGGCCACUGAAGAACCUGGCACUGGCCGCUAUCACUGGCCCCAGCUGCAGUGCUGCUUGCUGUUCACAGAUUAAGACCCUGGGGCUUGGAGACAGCAAGUGACUGUCCCAAGAUCACUCAGCUGAUAAGUGAUGGAGCCAGGAUUCCAGCCUAGACUGUCUGACUGCAAGGGGCUUGAACUUUUCACCGUAACGCAGAUUGUGAAUUCCAUGAAAGCAGGGACUGUGCUUUCUGAGUCUCUAGCCAAGCACCUGCCACAUGGGCUGGAAGAAAAUGUGGAAGAUUCCUCUCUUGGUGCUGAAGGCUUGAGUGGAAUUUGCAGAAGCCCAUUCCGGGAGCUCUAACUAGCUCUUUGCUGGCAAAUUUCCUGGAAAUUUAACCAUCAGCUCUUGUGAACUGGGACUAGCCAGCCCUGGCGUACCACUGGUGAUUGCGGAAGGCCUUGCUGAGAAAGGGACAUCUGAACAGGAAACUGAAAGAGCCUCAGCAGAGAUGAUUUGGCUGGAUGAGCAUUUUAUUUUGGCAUUUGAAGAUGGUGUUGGUGGAGCCUUCCAUCCAUAGACUGUAAAAAAAUACAAACAGCACAAAACCAUCCAGUUUUAGGUCCUGGAUCCUCUCCAGUUUCAGAUUAAGGCAGAAACCCUGCUCCUCCAGGAUUGCAGCGUGACCAGUGCCCUGAGAGCAGACGAGUGGGGAGCCAGAAUGACAGUGGCCGCCUCUGCACAGUGGAACACUGGCCCUUGACAGCUGUAGGGGUCUGGAGGAGCUGCUGGCCUGGCGCUUUGCAGGGCUUGUGCUGAGAACUCUUCUCCUUUUUUGGAAAACAAAUCAAAUCCUGCAAGGAAACCUCAGCCUGGACAGAUUUUCCUUGAGAACAAUCCACUCUGAUGUGUGCCUCUCCUUGGUGGCUUUCUGCCACAACCUUUGAAAGUUAAGGCCACUUCAUGCUGCUGUAGGCCACUUCUCUGAGGAGCCCCAGAGUCGCUGAAUCUUGCAAGUGCUGACUGAAAGAAGCCUCCACUUGCCUAACAAAGGGGAAAGAUGACUUAAAUACUCCUUCUCAUCCACCGACACAACCCAAUGGUCCUAUAGACACAAUUACAUCUAACAAGUAUUUUGGGUGUGUUUAAAGCAUGGGCUAGUUAUGAAGGAGAGGAAGGGAUGGUGGGAGCUUUCUUAUUUGCUUUUAAAAUUCUGUAUUUGACAGGAAUACUCUGUGCUGGCAUAACAACGGGACUCUAGCGAACAGUAGCUUUUAUAGGAUAAAAGUUUAGUUCUGGCCAGGCAUGGUGGCUCAUGCCUAUAAUCCCAGAACUUUGGGAGGCCAGGGCGGGCAGAUCAUUUGAGUUCAAGAGUUCGAGACCAGCCUGGUCAACAUGGUGAAACCCUGUCUCUGCUAAAAAUUGAAAAAAAAUAGCUGGGCUUGGUGGCGUGCGCCUGUAGUCCCAGCUACUUGGGAGACUGAGGCAGGAGAAUCGCUUGAACCCAGGAGGCAGAGGUUGCAGUGAGCCGAGAUUACACCACUGCACUCCAACCUGGGAGACAGAGUGAGACUCCAUCAAAAAAAAAAAAAAAAGAAAGAAAGAAAGAAAGUUUAGUUCUGCUUCAUGGACUAGCCCAGAGGUUGUCUGGUAGUCAUUAGUCUGAUAGGGUGGUCCUGCCACUCUCAUUGUAUAUUUCCCUGCUCAGGGUCUCACUCAAACCUCUGUAUUCCAGUUAAAGGAAAGGGGGAAACAAAAGUGUUUGCCCAAGGUUCUCACAUCCCAUUAGCCCAAUACUGGUAGCAUAGCCACCUCCAGUUGCAAGGGAUAUCGGGAAAUGUAGUCUCCAGUGGCAUGCCUAUGUGCCUAGCUAAAAAUAAAAAAAUUCUAUCACUAAAGAACAGAUAUUAAUGGACAUGUCCUGGUCUCUGCCACCCUUUCUUUCACUUAUUCACCUACUCAAGGAAUUACUGAGUGCCAGUCAUAUUUUUGACACCGUUUUUACUCAGUUGCUUAUAAUCCAGCAAUGUAUAUGAACACAUGCUCAGCUAAAGUCACAUUGUGCUGCAUUCUCUAAUAAUUCAAAUGCUAUGGAUCUUCAGGGAAGGAAGGGCUCAUUUCUGUCUGGAGAGAUUUGUCCAUUUGUUUACAGAUUUAUUGAGCACUGUGGUCAGCAGCCUGAAGAUGGCCCCCAGUCAUCUCCACCUCCCAGAAUUCACAUCCUUGUGCAAUCUCCUUUCCUUGAAUGUGUGCUGGACCUAAUGACUCACUUCUAGCAAAUAGAAUACAACAAAAGUGACAAAAUGUCACUUUUGAGAUUAGGUUACAAGAGGACUGGGACUUCCACCUCACUCUUUCUCAGACUUCACUCUGGGGAAAUCCAGCUGCUGUGUUUUGAGAAAUAUUAUGGAGAAACUUCUGCGGCAAGGAAAUAAUAUCUUCAGUCAACAGUCAGCAAGGAUCCUAACGUCUGCCAGCACCAUGUGAUUGAGCUGGAAAGUCGAUUUUCUGAGGACUGCCAACAGCCACCCAAGUGAGCUGGGAAACAGAUCCCCCUGCAGUUGACCCUUGAGGUGACUGUAGCCUGACAGACACCUUGAUUACAGCUUUGUGAGAGAUCUGCACCCUAAUCACCCAACUAAGCUGCACCUGUACCUGAAUUUCUGACUCAGAGAAACUGUGAGAUAAUAAAUAUUGUGAUUUUCAAAUGCUAAGUUUUGGGGUAAUUUGUUAUGCAGCAAUAGAUGACUGAUACAAGUACCUACUGUUUUCAGGUAGUAUGCGAGGCCAUUAAAAUGUGAAAAAUGAAUGAUGCUUCAUUUUGUCACUGUGUCUUGGGAGAGGGGAAGACAGCAAUAUAUAUACAAACAUGGUGCUUAUGAUAGAAGGUGGUCAAUCCAGUGAUAGAGAGGUGCUGAGUGUGAAAUAGGAGCACAAAGGAAGAGCCCCUUAUCCAGAGGAGGAAGGGAGAUGAGGAGAGACAUCCUGGAGAAAACAAAUAUUUUCAGAGAAAAUUGAGGGAGGGGUCAUUCUAUGGAGAGGGGACAGAGUGACUAAUGCCUGGAGGGGAAACGGUACAGAAUCUGCUUGGGGAUGGAGCACUAUCAUUUUUGUGUAAAAGAGGUAAAGGAAGAUAAGGCUGGAGAAGUAACUAGAAACUAACCUAGUCUCAUGCCAGCAAUUUAUUUCUAUUUAUUUAUUUACUUUGAGAUGAGGUCUCACUUUGUCACUCAGGCUGGAGUCCAGUGGUGUGAUCUCGGCUCACUGCAGCCUCCGCCUCCUGGCCUCAAGGGAUCCUCCCACCUCAGACCCCAAGUAGCUGGGACUACAGGCGCCCACCACCAUGCCUGGCUUAUUUUUUUUUUUGUCUUUUUUGUACAGAUGGGGUUUUGCCAUGUUGCACAGGCUGGUCUUGAACUCCUGAGGUCAAGUGAUCAGCCCACCUUAGCCCCCCAAAGUGCUAGGAUUACAGGCAUGGGCCAGCAUGCCUGACCCACUAAUUUAUUUUUAAAUAUCAGUAUUAUGAAAUCCUGCCUUGAGUGAAAGGAGGUAAAAACAAGAGUUAAUGAAGGAACUGGCGUGUUCUCAAUAGUCCAACACCUGAAUUUUAAGAAACCAGUUUCAAUUACCUAUAAAACACUGACAAGUGUAAUUUGUUUCAUUGUUUUGCUCAUAAAAUUUGAGCCAGGAACAGUUGACAUAUUUCCAUGGAAUAAUUGUGGUUCCUAUUGAGAAACCAGCUUAGACAAGUUGUUUGAUGGUUUUACAACUGGGAAAUUGACCCUUUCAGCUUCAGGGUCUCAUGAGUCAAUAUUUUGAAAAUCUGAGGAGAAGUUUGGGAAGAAUUGUAUGUUUUGUUGUUGUUGUUGUUGUUGUUUGUUUGUUUGUUUGUUUGUUUGUUUUGAGACAGGGUUUCACUUUGUCACCCAGGCUGCAGUCAAUGGCGUGAUCUCCGCUCACUGCAGCCUUGACCUCCUGGGCUCAAGCAAUCCUACCACCUCAGCCCCUCAAGUAGCUAGGACUACAGGUG